rnacentral:rRNA from 1 species
UGAGGAAUAUUGGUCAAUGGACGCAAGUCUGAACCAGCCAUGCCGCGUGAAGGAAUAAGGCCCUAUGGGUCGUAAACUUCUUUUGUAUGUGAGCAAUAAGGUCCACGUGUGGUCCGAUGAGAGUAGCAUACGAAUAAGCAUCGGCUAACUCCGUGCCAGCAGCCGCGGUAAUACGGAGGAUGCAAGCGUUAUCCGGAUUCAUUGGGUUUAAAGGGUGCGUAGGCGGCUUGGUAAGUCAGCGGUGAAAUUCCAGUGCUCAACAUUGGCCGUGCCGUUGAUACUGCUGGGCUUGAAUGCGGAUGCCGUGGGAGGAAUGUGUGGUGUAGCGGUGAAAUGCAUAGAUAUCACACAGAACACCGAUUGCGAAGGCAUCUCACGAAUCCGCAAUUGACGCUGAGGCACGAAAGUGUGGGGAUCAAACAGG